AUGGUUUAAGAAUCAUAACAAUAGGGUUAUAACAAAUAGCAAACAUAGGCACCUUAAAAUUUGAAGAAAAUAAUAAGUUUAUAGGUUUAAAAAUAUAUUUGGUGUAUUAACUGUCUCCUGAUUAGUUAAAAGUAUCAGUUUUAUUUUCAAUGUUUACAUUUUAUGGUGACACACCCACUCUGACGUUGUGUAUUAACACGUCAACAUGUGUGUACAUUGUUAUUGUUAAUAUUAGUAAUAUAAAAAGUUCUUUGAGCCUUAUUUUUGAUAGAAAUUUAUUUAUAAUGAAUGGCAGUAACUUAUUUGGAUUUUAUUGAACCAUAAAAUUAGUUUUCAACAAUUC
rnacentral:lncRNA from 1 species